UACAGAGGAUGCAAGCGUUAUCCGGAAUGAUUGGGCGUAAAGCGUCUGUAGGUGGCUUUUUAAGUCCGCCGUCAAAUCCCAGGGCUCAACUCUGGACAGGCGGUGGAAACUACCAAGCUGGAGUACGGUAGGGGCAGAGGGAAUUUACGGUGUAGCGGUGAAAUGCGUAGAUAUCGUAAGGAAGACCAGUGGCGAAGGCGGGUCUCUGGACAGUUUCUGACGCUGAGGCACGAAGGUCAGGGGGAGCAAACGGGG
rnacentral:rRNA from 1 species